AAUAUAUAUAUUAUUUUUAAUAUAUUUUAGAGGGAUCAGUUAAGAGAUCAUGAGGAGAGAGUUACUAGACUGGCCAGCGAGCUCGAAGAACAUCGAAAAGCGCCCCCGGAAAGAGGCGCAAAAUCGCUAAUUGUGCAGAAUUACAAAGAAAAAGUGGCCUACCUUACUUAUGAACUUCAAAGAUACAGCAUUUACGUUCACGUAUUAAAAUCUCGAAUUUCCGAUGCGGGAAUCUGCGUUUUGGAGAAUAGUAUCGGGGAAUUAGAGGACGAAGCGAGCGGGGUGGGUUACGGUGGAAGCGGUGAAAGUGGAUCGUCAACGACAACCGUUUCUGAGGGGAAAUCACCGCCCAUCAAUAGGUUUACAGCUAUCUCAGUUCAUAUAAAAUACUUUCCGAAAUACGAGCCCUUAAGAGGUGAUAACUGACACAGGCAGACGACGGACUAAUGAAGAAUAAAAAAUAAGAUAUAUAAAAAGGGCGGAUGUCUCGUGCAAUAGGAAUCGAUGAAUUCAAAAGGAAAAGAAGAUAAAUAAUAAUAGAAAAAAUCAAGUUGAAGUAAUUCUUUUCGAACAAAAAUAAUAUCAUCCCUUCAUAACAUUCAAUUUUUAAACAAGAAACAAAGUUGAUUCGUUCUAUUUACCAAAGAAAUUAGUUUAUCAAAUUUACUAAGCUGGAUAAUGUUUAAAUGCGAACGAACGACACCCAUUAUAUAUAAUUAUAUAAUUAUUUUUUAUAUAGAUACGAUUAUUAUAAUUGCUUUUUCGCCGCUACAUUUCCAUCUAUUUUUUAAUGUAUAUAAUGUGCUUUAAUUGUAUUUUUUAUUUCAUCUGUGAAAUAUAUUUUAUUUUGAAA